CAGAGUUCAUGCCCUCACGGGUAGACCUCCCACCCUUGAAUACUAUACCUUUGUUGCUUUGGCGGGCCGCUUCGGCUGCCGGCUCACGCUGGCACGCGCCCGCCAGAGGACCUAAACUCUGAAAUUUAAUGUCGUCUGAGCACUAUAUAAUAGUUA
rnacentral:misc_RNA from 1 species